rnacentral:rRNA from 1 species
UACGUAGGGUGCGAGCGUUAAUCGGAAUUACUGAGCGUAAAGUGUGCGCAGGCGGCAGAGCAAGUCGAGUGUGAAAGCCCCGGGCUUAACUUGGGAAUUGCGCUCGAAACUACUUUGCUGGAGUGUGGCAGAGGAAGGUGGAAUUCCACGUGUAGCGGUGAAAUGCGUAGAGAUGUGGAGGAACACCAAUGGCGAAGGCAGCCUUCUGGGCCAACACUGACGCUCAUGCACGAAAGCGUGGGGAGCAAACAGG